rnacentral:rRNA from 1 species
AAAUUGAAGAGUUUGAUCAUGGCUCAGAUUGAACGCUGGCGGCAGGCCUAACACAUGCAAGUCGAACGGUAACAGGAAGAAGCUUGCUUCUUUGCUGACGAGUGGCGGACGGGUGAGUAAUGUCUGGGAAACUGCCUGAUGGAGGGGGAUAACUACUGGAAACGGUAGCUAAUACCGCAUAAUGUCGCAAGACCAAAGAGGGGGACCUUCGGGCCUCUUGCCAUCGGAUGUGCCCAGAUGGGAUUAGCUAGUAGGUGGGGUAACGGCUCACCUAGGCGACGAUCCCUAGCUGGUCUGAGAGGAUGACCAGCCACACUGGAACUGAGACACGGUCCAGACUCCUACGGGAG